rnacentral:rRNA from 1 species
GUGGGGAAUAUUGCACAAUGGGCGCAAGCCUGAUGCAGCCAUGCCGCGUGUAUGAAGAAGGCCUUCGGGUUGUAAAGUACUUUCAGCGAGGAGGAAGGCAUUAAGGUUAAUAACCUUGGUGAUUGACGUUACUCGCAGAAGAAGCACCGGCUAACUCCGUGCCAGCAGCCGCGGUAAUACGGAGGGUGCAAGCGUUAAUCGGAAUUACUGGGCGUAAAGCGCACGCAGGCGGUCUGUCAAGUCGGAUGUGAAAUCCCCGGGCUCAACCUGGGAACUGCAUUCGAAACUGGCAGGCUAGAGUCUUGUAGAGGGGGGUAGAAUUCCAGGUGUAGCGGUGAAAUGCGUAGAGAUCUGGAGGAAUACCGGUGGCGAAGGCGGCCCCCUGGACAAAGACUGACGCUCAGGUGCGAAAGCGUGGGGAGCAAACAGGAUUAGAUACCCUAUAGUCC